AGAGUUUGAUCCUGGCUCAGAAUGAACGCUGGCGGCGUGCCUAACACAUGCAAGUCGAAUGUGCCGCAAGGUGCAUGGCAGACGGGUGAGUAACGCGUAGGGAAUCUACCUUUUAGUGGGGAAUAACGCUCCGAAAGGAGUGGUAAUACCGCAUGAGACCGUAGUCUGGGAUGACUACGGUGAAACCUGGGGACCGCAAGGCCUGGGGCUAAAAGAGGAUCCUGCGUCUGAUUAGCUAGUUGGCGGGGUAAUGGCCCACCAAGGCGACGAUCAGUAGCCGGCCUGAGAGGGUGAUCGGCCACACUGGAACUGAGACACGGUCCAGACUCCUACGGGAGGCAGCAGUGGGGAAUUUUGGACAAUGGGCGCAAGCCUGAUCCAGCCAUGCCGCGUGAGUGAAGAAGGCCUUCGGGUUGUAAAGCUCUUUCAGCCGGGAAGAAAACGCAUGGGUUAAUACCCUGUGUGGAUGACGGUACCGGAAUAAGAAGCACCGGCUAACUACGUGCCAGCAGCCGCGGUAAUACGUAGGGUGCGAGCGUUAAUCGGAAUUACUGGGCGUAAAGCGUGCGCAGGCGGUUUGUUAAGAUAGGCGUGAAAUCCCCGGGCUCAACCUGGGAACUGCGUUUAUGACUGGCAGGCUAGAGUAUGGCAGAGGGGGGUGGAAUUCCACGUGUAGCAGUGAAAUGCGUAGAGAUGUGGAGGAACACCGAUGGCGAAGGCAGCCCCCUGGGCCAAUACUGACGCUCAUGCACGAAAGCGUGGGUAGCAAACAGGAUUAGAUACCCUGGUAGUCC
rnacentral:rRNA from 1 species